rnacentral:rRNA from 1 species
UCGGCUCUCGCAUCGAUGAAGAACGUAGCGAAAUGCGAUACUUGGUGUGAAUUGCAGAAUCCCGUGAACCAUCGAGUUUUUGAACGCAAGUUGCGCCCAAAGCCAUUAGGCUAAGGGCACGUCUGCCUGGGCGUCACGCAUCACGUCGCCCCAACCCCCCA